AUUGUCUUCAAAUUAAUAGAUGCAACAAAGCUCAAAUGUAUCAUUUUCUUACAAAAAAAGGAAUGUGCUAUUCAGCACCUAUUAAAAACAAUGUCAAAUAAAGUUGAAAACUUGAGAAUCUUCAUUCGUGCAACAAAUCAGAAUAUAUUUCACACAUUUCAACUCAAGUAAUUUCUUCAAUUUGACACUUUAUCAACAAAGUUAU